rnacentral:rRNA from 1 species
AACGAACGCUGGCGGCAUGCCUAACACAUGCAAGUCGAACGAGACCUUCGGGUCUAGUGGCGCACGGGUGCGUAACGCGUGGGAACCUGCCCUUAGGUUCGGAAUAACUCCCCGAAAGGGGUGCUAAUACCGGAUAAUGUCUUCGGACCAAAGAUCUAUCGCCUUUGGAUGGGCCCGCGUUGGAUUAGCUAGUUGGUAGGGUAAAAGCCUACCAAGGCGACGAUCCAUAGCUGGUCUGAGAGGAUGAUCCGCCACACUGGGACUGAGACACGGCCCAGACUCCUACGGGAGGCAGCAGUGGGGAAUAUUGGACAAUGGGCGAAAGCCUGAUCCAGCAAUGCCGCGUGAGUGAUGAAGGCCUUAGGGUUGUAAAGCUCUUUUACCCGGGAUGAUAAUGACAGUACCGGGAGAAUAAGCUCCGGCUAACUCCGUG